rnacentral:rRNA from 1 species
CCUACGGGAGGCAGCAGUGGGGAAUAUUGCACAAUGGGGGAAACCCUGAUGCAGCGACGCCGCGUGAGUGAAGAAGUCUUUCCGGAUUGUAAGCUCUAUCUGCAGGGAAGAAAAUGACGGUACCUGAUUAAGAAGCCACGGCUAACUACGUGCCAGCAGCCGCGGUAAUACGUCGGGGGCCAGCGUUAUCCGGAUUUACUGGGUGUAAAGGGAGCGUAGAUGGCAGCACAAGUCUGGAGUGAAAUGCCGGGGCUUAACCGUGGAACUGCGAUGGAUACUGUGCAGCUAGAGUGCAGGCGAGGUAGGUGGAAGUCGUGGUGUAGCGGUGAAAUGCGUAGAUAUUAGGAGGAACACCAGUGGCGAAGGCAGCUUACUGGACUGUAACUGACGUUGAGGUUCGAAAGUGUGGGGAGCAAACAGGAUUAGAUACCCGAGUAGUC